rnacentral:lncRNA from 9 species
UCACAUGGCAAGAGGGACUUUGCAGAUGAGUUUCAGGUUAAGCCCUUGAGAUGGGGAGAGAAGCCUGCAUUACCCAGGUGGGCUCAAUCUACUCACACGCGUGCUUAGAAGCAGAGAACCCUGCCCGCUGGGGUCAGAGGGAGACGUGAUUGUGGACGAAAGGUCAGAGAGAGGCAGUGAGGCUGGCUUGGAAGAGGAAGGAAGAGGGCCCUGAGCCAAGGAAUGCGGGCUGCACAUGAAGCUGGAAAGGAAGCAGAACCUCCCCUAGAACUUCCAGAAAGGAAUGCAGCCCAGCCAACACGUGGAUUUUUACCCCAGUGAGAUCUGAAUCUGACUUCUGGCCUCCAGAAUGGCAAGGUAACAAAUCUGUGUUGUUUCACUAAGUUUGUAAUAACCUAGAACAGCAGCCACAGAAAAUUAACGCAGGGUAAUUGAGAGGAGACAGAGCUGCCGCCCGGAGGACUCCCGGUGCCGUUAUUUAUAAAGUGUGGGGGGUGUUCGCUCGCUCUCUCCGUCUGAUCAGUCUUAGGCUCACACGAACGACAUGGCCACAGCUGUUGCUGGAAUAAAGUAAGGCUAGGCCUCAGCGCCUCCGCACAUGUGGAAGGAGGCUGCGGAGAAACUGCAGCCAGAGAACUAGUGGAACCAUCGGUGAAGACUUGAGCCUGCAGCCCUGGAGCAGAAGCUGGAGGUCCCCAGAAACCCUGAGAAGCCACAACAUCCACCCACCAAAAGCAGGAGCUUGUGGGGAGAGAUCCGUGAACGCGGCACACGUGCCCAUUGGCAUAAUGGCAUUCACUUCACUCAGGCACCCAAAUCCCACGCACCCUCCUCUCACUGGCGAACGAUCUGGAACCCUGUCUGGUCCGGGUUCUGGGAAGCGUGGCUGCCAGCCAUAGACGGGCUUGGUGACGGCCGGGAGCUGCCUGGCCGCAGACAGUCCAGCUCCGAGGGGUAUUAUACGCUGGCUGCCGGUCCUGGGAGCUGCACUGAGAGAAGCUCACUGCACAACAAGACUUUUUUUGAAUAAGGCGCCUAAUCCUCCCUUGGCUGUGCCUGAGAUGCCGAAGUCCGGAGCUUCUCCGGUGCAGACGCCCCAGAGGCUGGAAGGUGUGUUGGGAGGAUGGGGAGGAGACGGAGCUGAACUGAACCCUGACGCAGUCUCCCGAGAACGGGUGGAGAUGGAGCUGCAGUCUGUUUCCAUAGAACAGAUACAAACACUAUUGUGCCCUGCCCGGCCUGGUCGUGACCAGGAUCUCGUAGCAAGGUGGAAUGCAUCUCUAAAAAGAAGUUCAUGGCUGACCAGAUGUCAUCAAUUCAGACAUGUCUGCCUCCAUCCUGGCUUGGAAGAAUGGUGUGCUGGAACCUCCCCUCGGGAAGGCUGGACUUGUGCAAAUUCUCUCUCAUUCAAGGGGAUCUGCCCCGGUCAGCACUCUCCAGGUUUUUUUUUCAACACAUCAAGAGGGGGUUCUAUGCAGGUUUGCUGGCUCUUCUAAUUCUGCAGUCUGCACCAAAAUCUGUCUGCCUAUUACUGGAUGCACAGGUAGGUGAGUCUCUUGGUGAGUGAUGCUGGGUCCCACAAUUCCCACAGAGGUGAUUUUUUCAUAGAUGGAUGUCUGUCUUGUUUAAAAAAUGGGAUUAAAAAGACGGAUGUCUUAUAUUGCUGUGAUGCUGACAUCACUCCCCCAAUGUAAUGUUCAUUCUUUAUGAUAUACUCUAUGGCUAGAAAAACAUUGUGUACACAAAAUAAUACGAUAAGGAGUGUGAUAGCUGUUAAAGCUGCCACCUUCUGGGCACAUGGUGGGAUUAUUCUUCUGGCUCUUUGUGGAUGGGCAGGGCUGGAGCCAUGUACAAACUGUAGACUGUGGCGCAGAACUUGAACUUUAUUAGGACCCACCUCUUGGUGGGUUUAGGGGAUGAAAUGAUCCGGCUCGCAUUUGAAAGGGAUCAUUCUUGCUGUUGUAUGGAGGAUGGAUUGUUGAGGGCAAGUGUGGAACCACAGAAGCACUUCAAAAGCUAGGAAUGGUGAGAUAUGAUGGUGACUUGAACGUCAUUGGUUACAGGCAAAAUAGAAGUGGAAUUUGGGGGGAUGCAUUUUGCAAAUGGAUCUGACAGGACUGACCCAAAAAGUGGAAAACAGGGGUUGAAGGAAGGAGAGGGAUUGCAAAUGCUCAUUGUUUUGGUUGAACAUAUGGUAGUAGGGCCAUUGACUAAGUGGGAGCAAAUGAACGACUAACAGGUAUGAAGAGACGGAAUGGAGCUGAUUUUUUUUCUGUAUUAGCUUUAGACGGUUAUUACACUCUACGUGCACAUACAUAAAGCACCCCAUUCACAGGGAACCCUGAGAACCAAAGAUGUACAUAUAUUUGGGCAUCACUAGCAUAUAAAUUGUGUUUAAUAUAAAGGACUAGAUUAGACCAUCCAGGGAGAAUAUAGAUAGGAAAAAAAAAGAUGUGAAGACAGGAGAAAAGUCAAGCAAAUAUGUGGCCAUAGAAGCCAAAAGAAGACAGUGUUUUGUUUUUUUGAAAUUUUAGGUCACCAACAUUUUUUUUUUUCCCCCACUGUACAGCAAGGGGAUCAAGUUAUCCUUACAUGUAUACAUUACAUUUUUUCCCCCACCCUUUGUUCUGUUGCAACAUGAGUAUCUAGACAUAGUUCUCAAUGCUACUCAGCAGGAUCUCCUUGUAAAUCUAUUCUAAGUUGGGUCUGAUAAGCCCAAGCUCCCGAUCCCUCCCACUUCCUCCCUCUCCCAUCAGGCAGCCACAAGUCUCUUCUCCAAGUCCAUGAUUUUCUUUUCUGAGGAGGUGUUCAUUUGUGCUGUAUAUUAGAUUCCAGUUAUAAGUGAUAUCAUAUGGUAUUUGCCUUUGUCUUUCUGGCUCAUUUCACUCAGGAUGAGAUUCUCCAGUUCCAUCCAUGUUGCUGCAAAUGGCAUUAUGUCAUUCUUUUUUAUGGCUGAGUAGUAUUCCAUUGUGUGUAUAUACCACAUCUUCCGAAUCCAAUCAUCUGUUGAUGGACAUUUGGGUUGUUUCCAUGUCCUGGCUAUUGUGAAUAGUGCUGCAAUGAACAUGUGGGUGCACGUGCCUCUUUUAAGUAGAGUUUUGUCCUGGUAGAUGCCCAAGAGUGGGAUUGCGGGGUCAUAUGGAAGUUCUAUGUAUAGAUUUCUAAGGUAUCUCCAAACUGUUCUCCAUAGUGGCUGUACCAGUUUACAUUCCCACCAACAGUGCAGCCCCGCCAACACUUGUUAUUUGUGGACUUAUUAAUGAUGGCCAUUCUGACUGGUGUGAGGUGAUAUCUCAUGGUAGUUUUGAUUUGCAUUUCUCUUAUAAUCAGCGAUGUUGAGCAUUUUCUCAUGUGUUUGCUGGCCAUCUGUAUAUCUUCCUUGGAGAACAGUCUAUUCAGGUCUUUUGUCCAUUUUUCCAUUGGGUGAUUGGCUUUUUUGCUGUUGGGUUGUAUAAGUUGUUUAUAUAUUCUAGAGAUUAAGUCCUUGUCGGUUGCAUCAUUUGAAACUAUUUUCACCCAUUCUGAAAGUUGUCUUUUUGUUUUCUUUUUGGUUUCCUUUGCUGUGCAAAAGCUUUUCAGUUUGAUGAGGUCCCAUGGGUUUAUUUUUGCUCUUAUUUCUAUUGCUUUGGGAGACUGACCUGAGAAAAUAUUCAUGAUGUUGAUGUCAGAGAGUGUUUUGCCUAUGUUUUCUUCUAGGAGUUUGAUGGUGUCCUGGAAGGCAGUGUUUUGGAUGUUGUUGAAAGACUGAGUGAGGUACAGAAGCAAUGAUGUGACAAAGAGGGACUACUGGCGCCUUUGAGAGGGGAAUUUUCAGUGGCGUUCUGGAUGGCGGGGGAGGCAGGUUGAAAGCAUUGAGGAGAAAAUGGAAGUAAAUGAAGAAUGAGAAUGAAGGGAAUUUUCGUGAUUUAAGUUUCCCCUUGAAGGGGAACAAAAUUGUGCUUGGAGGAGACAGGUGGUAAAGGUAGAUUUUAUUUCUUUUAGGAUGGGGGAUACUAGAGCAUGCUUGUUUGCUGUUGGUGAGUCCAGGUUGAGGAAGAAACUAAUGAUGCAGGAGAUCAAGAGGUUAAUUCACCAGGGAAGAGAGUGGUCUGAUCCAGGGCACAAUGGAGGGCUGUCCUUUCACUAGAAGAGAGAUCCUCCAUUCAAGGACAGCACAGCCAGGUAGAUGUUGGUUUUAAGGCUGAAACUACGAGGAAGUGCUCCUUGACUAUGGCUCUCUUCAUUGACUUGUGAACAAAAUAAGUGGAAUAAUAUUUGAUGGAACAGAAUAAAGACCCCAUAGUGCAUAUCAGAAAGAUUCCCAUGAGACAAUAAAUUAAUGAAAAGCCACUAACACCUCUACAUUUCUUGGUUAAGAUUUAAGGGUAAAGAAUGAAUCCUAUGAGCAUUAAGUAGAAAAUAAAAUUACAAACAAAGGGAAAACAAGCAGGUUGUACUUCUGAUCCAGCCAUGAUAAAAUAACUAAUAUCAGAUGAAUUCUGCUGAAAACAACUGUAAAAGAUGGACAAUGUACAUUUAAAGACUGUUUAAAAUAUUUGGAGAAAAAUGUAAAAUCGGAUAGGCGAUGAGAGGUUAUAGUACCUGAGACAAGGGAAACACAGUGAGCUGGCCUCUUCCCUUGAGGGCAUUUACUGUUUCACAGUAAAGCAAAGAAAAA